rnacentral:tRNA from 1 species
GGUUCCGUGGUGUAGGGGUUAACAUGCCUGCCUGUCACGCAGAAGAUCGCGGGUUCAAAUCCCGUCGGGACCG